GAAAAUCCCAGCCUUCUGUGCUCUGGGCCCCCACAGCAAACACUGCCAAGGUCACGUCGACAGGCAGGCUAUAGAAAGGAACACACUCGGAGGCCCAGUAUGGUGGUGAGAAGAACCAGAAGGCACUCAAAAUUUAGGCCAGAAGGAUACGGUCUUCUAAGAAGACUUCAAGGCUGUUAUAAAGACCCAGUGGUGGGAGAAACCUGAUCCGGUAUAGCGGGGCCAGAAGAAGCUGCGGGACCAUGCCGCGGGGACAAGGCAAGGAGUUUCGCCAGGAUGUUGAUCUCCUGGUUAUCUACACUUCCGCCUCAGUAUGAUCUGAAUUAUUAAUGAGAAAGAUUAAGAUACAGAUUCCUUCCUUCAAGUGCCUUAGUAGUCACAGACAGGAGGUUAAUUAUAAGACUAAAAGCAAUCUUGGGUUGUUAGAAGAACUUAAAGGAAAACACCUUUCAACUUCUUGUUAUCAAUCAAUCAUUUUUGUCUUUAGAAAUCAAGAAUUUGAACAAUAACAGCUGCUUUCAGAAAUAAACCGCGACUUUGUGCAGCGUGUAUUACCUGA
rnacentral:lncRNA from 1 species